ensembl:snoRNA
GGGUCAUUUCAAAGAGUUCUUGUGGAGGUGUGAAAUCAAGAGCUCUUGAUGCUCUACCUAAAGAAUGAGGUUCUCUGUGGACUACUAUAAUCACUCAGUAGAGCUAUGUUUUCCCAAGGAGCUAUAGGA